rnacentral:rRNA from 1 species
CAGUAGCCGCGGUAAUCCGAAGGGGGCUAGCGUUGCUCGGAAUGACUGGGCGUAAAGGGCGCGUAGGCGGCGAUCAAAGUCAGGCGUGAAAUUCCUGGGCUCAACCUGGGGGCUGCGCUUGAUACUUGGUUGCUUGAGUGGGGAAGAGGGUCGUGGAAUUCCCAGUGUAGAGGUGAAAUUCGUAGAUAUUGGGAAGAGCACCGGUGGCGAAGGCGGCGACCUGGUCCUUGACUGACGCUGAGGCGCGAAAGCGUGGGGAGCAAACAGGAUUAGAUACCCGCGUAGUCCCUGUCUCUUAUAC